UUGACCUCAAAUCAGGUAGGACUACCCGCUGAACUUAAGCAUAUCAAUAAGCGGAGGAAAAGAAACUAACAAGGAUUCCCCUAGUAACUGCGAGUGAAGCGGGAAAAGCUCAAAUUUAAAAUCUGGUAGUCUUUGGCUGCCCGAGUUGUAAUCUAGAGAAGCAUUAUCUGCGUUGGACUGUGUAUAAGCGUCCUGGAAUGGACCAUCAUAGAGGGUGAGAAUCCCGUCUUUGACACAGACUCCCAGUGCUUUGUGAUGUGCUCUCAAAGAGUCGAGUUGUUUGGGAAUGCAGCUCUAAAUGGGUGGUAAAUUCCAUCUAAAGCUAAAUAUUGGCGAGAGACCGAUAGCGAACAAGUACCGUGAGGGAAAGAUGAAAAGAACUUUGGAAAGAGAGUUAAACAGUACGUGAAAUUGCUGAAAGGGAAACGCUUGAAGUCAGUCGCGUUGGCUGGGGAUCAACCUUGCUUUUGCUUGGCUUACUUCCCAGUUGACGGGUCAGCAUCAGUUUUGACCAGUGGAUAAAGGCUAGGGGAAUGUGGCACCUCCUGGUGUGUUAUAGCCCUUGGUCAUAUACAUUGGUUGGGACUGAGGAACUCAGCACUUGUGCUUAGGAUGCUGGCAUAAUGGCUUUAAGCGACCCGUCUUGAAACACGGACC
rnacentral:rRNA from 1 species